ensembl:snRNA U4 U4 spliceosomal RNA
AGCUUUGUGAAGUGGCAGUAUCAUGGCCAGUGAGGUUUAUCCAAGGCAUGAUUAUUGCUAACUGAGCAGGCCUGCUUCUUAAGUCCCUCAGUAGUCAGAAAAUCCACUGGUCACACAAAUGUGAGUCUUCUGUUUCCUUAAUAAUUUCUCAAAUGAAUAAGUAAGUUGGUGUUC